rnacentral:rRNA from 1 species
UACGAAGGUCCCGAGCGUUAUCCGGACUUAUUGGGUUUAAAGGGUGCGUAGGCGGGUUAUUAAGUCAGUGGUGAAAGCCUUCAGCUUAACUGAAGAACUGCCAUUGAUACUGAUGAUCUUGAGUAUGAUUGAGGUGGGCGGAAUGUGUCAUGUAGCGGUGAAAUGCUUAGAUAUGACACAGAACACCAGUGGCGAAGGCGGCUCACUGGUCCGGUACUGACGCUGAGGCGCGAAAGCGUGGGGAGCGAUCCGG